CACGUAGGCGGUCUGUUAUGUCGGAUGUGAAAGCCUUGGCUUAACCGAGGAAGUGCAUCCGAAACUGGCAGGCUAGAGUACUAAAGAGGGUCGCGGAAUUCCCGGUGUAGAGGUGAAAUUCGUAGAUAUCGGGAGGAACACCGGUGGCGAAGGCGGCGACCUGGGUAGAUACUGACGCUGAGGUGCGAAAGCGUGGGGAGCAAACA
rnacentral:rRNA from 1 species